ACACCCCAAAAUGGGCAAGGAGACACGUGACUGGUGGUGUUCUUCUUAUAUGUGUCAGGGCCAGAGAAGAUACCAGUCCUUUGUUUAUCCUAACUUGAUGGCUGGCUUGCUGGCCAAAGUUGUCUUAUGCCUUAGACACAUAG